CGGAGGGCGUAGCGUUGUUCGGAAUUACUGGGCGUAAAGCGCACGUAGGCGGACCAGAAGUUGGGUGGAAUCCCGGGCUCAACCUCGGAACUGCCUUCAAAACUAUUGGUCUUGAGUUCGAGAGAGGUGAGUGGAAUUCCGAGUGUAGAGGUAGAAUUCGUAGAUAUUCGGAGGAACACCAGUGGCGAAGGCGGCUCACUGGCUCGAUACUGACGCUGAGGUGCGAAAGCGUGGGGAGCAAACAGGAUU
rnacentral:rRNA from 1 species